GCUACGUGAAGAAUAGGAACACCAAAGAAGUCAAGAUUUUACGAGACCGAGCAAAGAGAGACAGCUAUAAUAGCCCAAUUUGCCAUGGCCCAUUUACAAAAAAAAACCCAAUUACAGACCCAAUUACAAUACCCAAAUGGCCAAAAUCAAAAUGGCCCAAAACCUAAAAAAACCCUAGCCCACAACACCUAAAGAAAAAGCAAAGAAAAAAACCCUAAGUGCGUCGCACCUAGGCCUGUCACUGCCAUAUCGCCU
rnacentral:lncRNA from 1 species